rnacentral:rRNA from 1 species
UACGUAGGGUGCGAGCGUUGUCCGGAAUUAUUGGGCGUAAAGAGCUUGUAGGCGGUCUGUCGCGUCUGCUGUGAAAUCCCGGGCUUAACUCCGGGCCUGCAUUCGAUACGGGCUGACUAGAGUUCGGCAGGGGAGACUGGAAUUCCUGGUGUAGCGGUGAAAUGCGCAGAUAUCAGGAGGAACACCGGUGGCGAAGGCGGGUCUCUGGGCCGAUACUGACGUGAGGAGCGAAAGCGUGGGGAGCGAACAGG